AGCUUUGAUUCUUAUUAGUAAAGCAUGUUUAGCUCGCUGCUCCUGCAUACUUUUUCUCAUAGAGGUUUAGUUAAACCUGCUUCUCCUUUAAGACGGCUUAAGGCCGCUAAAAUCGGAGAGAAUCUACCCUUCAAAAUUGGGCCUGACCAUAGGUUGAGUCUCGGCAUAAAAUUUCUUGUUUUCAUGUUAUUUGGAUUUGGCAGCCCCAUAGCUAUUGUUUACUAUCACAAAUCUAAUUCCGCAUAGUUCCAUGAAAAAUAUA